rnacentral:rRNA from 1 species
UACGAAGGGGGCUAGCGUUGCUCGGAAUCACUGGGCGUAAAGCGCACGUAGGCGGACUCUUAAGUCGGUGGUGAAAUCCUGGAGCUCAACUCCAGAACUGCCUUCGAUACUGAGAGUCUCGAGUCCGGGAGAGGUGAGUGGAACUGCGAGUGUAGAGGUGAAAUUCGUAGAUAUUCGCAAGAACACCAGUGGCGAAGGCGGCUCUCUGGGACGGUACUGACGCUGAGACGCGAAAGCGUGGGGAGCGAACAGG